AAAUUGAUUUUAAUGUGGCUUCAACAUGUCGGCGCGAUAGCGUACUUGUUAACUUCUGCCUUGUGAAAGACAGCAUAUGAACCUGUAAACCUUUCAAAUGCACAGUGUGUCGUUCUGGGAUGUGGUCCUACAACAUUAAUAGAGGACGACAAGUGCCUUAGCAGAUGAGUUGAACUAACUGCAAACUUUGGCAAAGAGGAAGUUUUACUGCGUCAAGUAAGUGCUGCUUUCCGUUACACAAAUCUGUACCACACACACACACACACACACACACACACACACACACACACACACACACACACACACACACACACACACACACACACACACACACACACACACGCACGCACGCACACACACGCACACGCACACACCUGUUCUGAUUUAUACAAUUUUGUAGGUUGGGCUCAGUUCAUCUUUUGUUUGCAAGACAAAACUAAGUGUAGGGGAAACUUAUCAAUUAGGCGUUGGUGGGACGUUUUUAUUAGAUAAUCGAUAUCCGUAUUUUAUUCAUUUUGGUCAUCCACCCAUAGAGUGGGCUAAACCGUCUUGGAAAGUAGUUGAUAACAGUCAGUUUGAAAUGAGAGAUACAUUCGAAAGUAUAACUCAUCGUGAAAACACCGGCAAAGGAGCAAAAAGUUACAUUAUAUCUGCUGCUAUAGACACAGACUCUAUCAAAUACUUUGAAUCAAUUCAUCCAGGAAGUUGUGAUAAAUUGGAAACUAAACAUGUUUGCACUUUAGUCGAUGCAGAAACUAUUAAAUUACAAGAACUGGCAAGCAGCAAACAGUCAACAGCUCUGCUAGCUUAUUUUAAGCGAGCCAGUAGUGGCAACAAUCUAGAACAAAGUUCUAAAAUGUUUAUUAGUGACAAGUUAAAGUUAUCCACUGAAUCUGAGACAACUGAAGUAGUUGUGAAGAACUCUGGGAAGAGCUUUCGGAACUUGUUGUAUUUACAAGUAAAGGAGUUCAACCAAGUAACAAAGUUUAAGAUGUUACUGCUUUGCGGACAGUGUACUGGUUGUAUUAAAAUCUAAAGCAUAGUUUGCUGGAUUUGAUCUUGAUGGCACAAUAAUAACCAAGUCAGGAAGAGUGUUUCUACAAAGCCCUAAUUAUUGGAAAUUACAGUUUCCGCAAAUCAAGACUGAAUUGUUGGAGUUGCAUCGUCUAGGAUACAAAGUUGUUAUUUCUACUAAUCAGUUGGCUGUAGGGCACAACAAAAUAUGCAUUAAUGACUUUCUUUUCGAGGUAAGGGACGUAGGAAGAAGUAUCGGAGUGCCAGUUCAAGUAUUUACUUCGGAAAGUUGAUGUAGUAUGUAUUGGAAACCAUGUCUUGGAAUGUGGACAUUCAUGACAGAUGAAGCAAGCGGGUGUUCAACCUGGACUACUUUGAGCUCAUCUGCCUGUUCUGUUGUCUCUCCGGACUCCUUGACUUUUGCGUCAGUGUAAUCUGUGUGUGCAUGGCCAUUAUCCAAAACUUUGCACGCUGCCAUUUGCUGCAAUUCAGAUGGCUCUUGCUAUUGUCUCAGUGCUUGCAGCGUUAUGUGGCCGGUUCUGCCUUGAAUGACAUGUUCAGGAACUCCCGCUUGAAACAGCCUUGUCACAGCCUUGUCACUCUAGUAGCUCAAAGGGCAUGGUUGGUUCGAACUGGAAGACCAGCUUCAGCUGUCAUCACUUUCAUCUUUGUAGCCAAAGUGUUACGACCGAUUACUUGCUUUGAAUACCAAGGAGCAAAUAGUAUUCUGUUAUGACAUUAUCAAGACUUGUUCACUUUUACUGGCAUUGUUCAGGUAUUAGUUAUGUUUUCAUUGUCUUAUCUGCACAUAACUGAUAGUGUCACAACCUACGAAUGGUCAUACUAGAGCUGAACAAGAGAUUGAAUACUGAAAACCAGAGAAAUGAGGGCAUAUCAGUUGCUUUAACCUGUAACUUGUUUGUUGGAAAUGCUGCUGGUCGAUCAAAAGGUUGGCCCCUGGAAGAAAUAAAGCAGAAUUCUUGUGUUCUUAUCGCAAGUUUGCUCUAGAUAUUGGCUUGACUUUCUUUACGCCUGAAGAAUACUUUUGGGAUACCGACCCGCCUCAUACAGUCUAGAACAGUUUGAUCCUAUUUAGAGGAAAGCUGUGAACUUUCCAGGGCCAUUGUGCAACCCUGUAAUUGCUAAAGUAAUCAGUGAAGGAAAAGAGGUGGUUGUACUAGUUGGUUAUCCAGGAAGUAAGAAUUAUUGUUACAAAACAGUAAAUACCUGAUUUGUUACAGUUAGUAUAGGUGCGAAGUCAACAUUUGUUCUGAGAUACCUUAUUCUACGUGACUAUUGUAGAGUAAACAGAGGUGCACUCAGUUCGUGGCAAAAGUGUGUUCAAUUAUCAGAAUCAGCUCUUCAAAGAGGAAAGAUUGUGGUGGUGGACAACACCAGUCCUGAUGUAGACUCUUGUGCCAGGUGCUUUUGUCUUCACAGCAAGUUUGGAACAGUUAAAGCACAAUAACAAAUUUCAACUUGAUCACAAACCCGUGGAUGAACUUGCUUACAACAGCUAUAGAUCAAAGUUUGUGAAACCAUCAGUCUCGGAUUUGUGGAGAUCAUUAAUAUCAAUUUUAUUCCAGAAUUCAAAUGUGAAAGUGACAGAAAACUGUAUGCAUAUUUAUAUUUUCUUGUAUACUGUUAAGGUUGGUAGCAGGAUUGGUAGUAAUAAGUUGUUAGAAGGAAUGUUUGUUCUCUUUUUGUGUUUUAAUUUGAUUUCAUCUGCUAUUUAACAGU